rnacentral:rRNA from 1 species
AUUGCCUCAGUAACGGCGAGUGAAGCGGCAACAGCUCAAAUUUGAAAUCUGGCUCUUUCAGGGUCCGAGUUGUAAUUUGUAGAAGAUGCUUCGGGUGUGGCUCCGGUCUAAGUUCCUUGGAACAGGACGUCAUAGAGGGUGAGAAUCCCGUAUGUGACUGGUUGCCUUCGCCCAUGUGAAGCUCUUUCGACGAGUCGAGUUGUUUGGGAAUGCAGCUCAAAAUGGGUGGUAUAUUUCAUCUAAAGCUAAAUAUUGGCCAGAGACCGAUAGCGCACAAGUAGAGUGAUCGAAAGAUGAAAAGCACUUUGGAAAGAGAGUUAAACAGUACGUGAAAUUGUUGAAAGGGAAGCGCUUGCAACCAGACUUGCGCGUAGUUGAUCAUCCGGGGUUCUCCCCGGUGCACUCGAUUGCGCUCAGGCCAGCAUCGGUUUGGGUGGUUGGAUAAAGGCCUUGGGAAUGUAGCUUCUUUCGGGGAGUGUUAUAGCCCUCGGUGCAAUGCAGCCUACCCGGACCGAGGACCGCGCUUCGGCUAGGAUGCUGGCGUAAUGGUUGUAAGCGACCCGUCUUGAAACACGGACCAAGGAGUCUAACAUUUAUGCGAGUGUUUGGGUGUUAAACCCAUACGCGUAAUGAAAGUGAACGGAGGUGAGAACCCUUAAGGGUGCAUCAUCGACCGAUCCUGAUGUCUUCGGAUGGAUUUGAGUAAGAGCAUAACUGUUGGGACCCGAAAGAUGGUGAACUAUGCCUGAAUAGGGUGAAGCCAGAGGAAACUCUGGUGGAGGCUCGCAGCGGUUCUGACGUGCAAAUCGAUCGUCAAAUUUGGGUAUAGGGGCGAAAGACUAAUCGAACCAUCUAGUAGCUG